rnacentral:rRNA from 1 species
UAAAUAAGCGGAGGAAAAGAAACUAACAAGGAUACCCCUAGUAACGGCGAGUGAAGCGGGUUGAGCUCAUCAUGUGAAUCUAUACAAGCAUUGUCUUGUGUCGAGUUGUGAUCUAUAGAAGCAUUGUCGGACGACGUUCUGGGCCAAGUCUCUUGGAAAGGAGCAGCAGAGAGGGUGAGACUCCCGUUCUUGCCUGGAAUGUGCGUUCAUGGCACGUGCCUUCGACGAGUCGAGUUGCUUGGGAUUGCAGCUCAAAGUGGGUGGUAAAUUCCAUCUAAAGCUAAAUACCGGUGGGAGACCGAUAGCGUACAAGUACCGUGAGGGAAAGAUGCAAAGAACUUUGAAAAGAGAGUUAAAGAGUACCUGAAAUUGCUGAAAGGGAAGCAAAGGAAACCAGUGCUGUUCCAUACCAUUCUUCCUGUGCUGCUUGCAACACGGGCGCUGUGGUUUGGAGUCGGCCAGCAUGGGUUUGGCUUGGAGCAAAUCGCUAUGCAGGAGGCAGUCCAAUCUCUGGACGAUUACUGUGUGGUGCUGCUCUGGGCUGGAUCGAGGCUAGUCAUGUGCUCGUGAUGCUGGCGAAAUGGUUUUCUUUACCCCGUCUUGAAACACGGACCAAGGAGUCUAACAUAUGUGCGAGUGUAGGGGUGGCAAACUCCAACGCGUAAUGAAAGUAACAGUGGUAGGACCUUCUGGGGCACUAUCCGCCGGCCACAAUCCUUCGGGAGAAAGGUCUGAGUGUGAGCAUACAUGUUGGGACCCGAAAGAUGGUGAACUUUGCGUGGGUAGGGUGAAGCCACGGGAAACCGUGGUGGAGGCUCGUAGCGAUUCUGACGUG